rnacentral:rRNA from 1 species
UAGAUCCGGCCAACCUCGGGAAACUGAGGCUAAUCCGGGAUAACGCUUUCAGCCUGGAGUGGCGAGAGCGUGAAACGCUCCGGCGCUAUAGGAUGUGGCUGCGGCCGAUUAGGUAGACGGUGGGGUAACGGCCCACCGUGCCAGUAAUCGGUACGGGUUGUGAGAGCAAGAGCCCGGAGACGGUAUCUGAGACAAGAUACCGGGCCCUACGGGGCGCAGCAGGCGCGAAACCUUUACACUGCACGCGAGUGCGAUAAGGGGACUCCAGGUGCGAGGGCAUAUAGUCCUCGCUUUUCUCAACCGUAGGGAGGUCGAGGAACAAGUGCUGGGCAAGACCGGUGCCAGCCGCCGCGGUAAUACCGGCAGCACAAGUGAUGACCGCUGUUAUUGGGCCUAAAGCGUCCGUAGCUGGCCAGACAAGUUCAUCGGGAAAUCUGUGCGCCUAACGCACAGGCGUCCGGUGGAAACUGCCUGGCUUGGGACCGGAAGACCAGAGGGGUACGUCUGGGGUAGGAGUG